CCCAGACUCCUACGGGAGGCAGCAGUGGGGGAUAUUGGACAAUGGGGGAAACCCUGAUCCAGCGACGCCGCGUGAGUGAAGAAGUAUUUCGGUAUGUAAAGCUCUGUCAGCAGGGAAGAAAGAAAUGACGGUACCUGACCAAGAAGCCCCGGCUAACUACGUGCCAGCAGCCGCGGUAAUACGUAGGGGGCAAGCGUUAUCCGGAAUUACUGGGUGUAAAGGGAGCGUAGACGGUGAUGCAAGUCUGGAGUGAAAGGCGGGGGCCCAACCCCCGGACUGCUCUGGAAACUGUAAAGCUGGAGUGCAGGAGAGGUAAGCGGAAUUCCUAGUGUAGCGGUGAAAUGCGUAGAUAUUAGGAGGAACACCAGUGGCGAAGGCGGCUUACUGGACUGCAACUGACGUUGAGGCUCGAAAGCGUGGGGAGCAAACAGGAUUAGAUACCCCGGUAC
rnacentral:rRNA from 1 species